UGCACCGCGGGUCCAUCCAUCAGCGACACCCGAAAGCGCCUUUCACUCUUAUGCCAUGCGGCAUAAACUGUUAUGCGGUAUUAGCACCUGUUUCCAAGUGUUAUCCCCCUCUGAUGGGUAGGUUACCCACGUGUUACUCACCCGUCCGCCACUCCUCUUUCCAAUUGAGUGCAAGCACUCGGGAGGAAAGAAGCGUUCGACUUGCAUGUAUUAGGCACGCCGCCAGCGUUCGU
rnacentral:rRNA from 1 species